AAAUUGAAGAGUUUGAUCAUGGCUCAGAUUGAACGCUGGCGGCAGGCCUAACACAUGCAAGUCGAACGGUAACAGGAAACAGCUUGCUGUUUCGCUGACGAGUGGCGGACGGGUGAGUAAUGUCUGGGAAACUGCCUGAUGGAGGGGGAUAACUACUGGAAACGGUAGCUAAUACCGCAUAACGUCGCAAGACCAAAGAGGGGGACCUUCGGGCCUCUUGCCAUCAGAUGUGCCCAGAUGGGAUUAGCUAGUAGGUGGGGUAACGGCUCACCUAGGCGACGAUCCCUAGCUGGUCUGAGAGGAUGACCAGCCACACUGGAACUGAGACACGGUCCAGACUCCUACGGGAGGCAGCAGUGGGGAAUAUUGCACAAUGGGCGCAAGCCUGAUGCAGCCAUGCCGCGUGUAUGAAGAAGGCCUUCGGGUUGUAAAGUACUUUCAGCGGGGAGGAAGGGAGUAAAGUUAAUACCUUUGCUCAUUGACGUUACCCGCAGAAGAAGCACCGGCUAACUCCGUGCCAGCAGCCGCGGUAAUACGGAGGGUGCAAGCGUUAAUCGGAAUUACUGGGCGUAAAGCGCACGCAGGCGGUUUGUUAAGUCAGAUGUGAAAUCCCCGGGCUCAACCUGGGAACUGCAUCUGAUACUGGCAAGCUUGAGUCUCGUAGAGGGGGGUAGAAUUCCAGGUGUAGCGGUGAAAUGCGUAGAGAUCUGGAGGAAUACCGGUGGCGAAGGCGGCCCCCUGGACGAAGACUGACGCUCAGGUGCGAAAGCGUGGGGAGCAAACAGGAUUAGAUACCCUGGUAGUCCACGCCGUAAACGAUGUCGACUUGGAGGUUGUGCCCUUGAGGCGUGGCUUCCGGAGCUAACGCGUUAAGUCGACCGCCUGGGGAGUACGGCCGCAAGGUUAAAACUCAAAUGAAUUGACGGGGGCCCGCACAAGCGGUGGAGCAUGUGGUUUAAUUCGAUGCAACGCGAAGAACCUUACCUGGUCUUGACAUCCACGGAAGUUUUCAGAGAUGAGAAUGUGCCUUCGGGAACCGUGAGACAGGUGCUGCAUGGCUGUCGUCAGCUCGUGUUGUGAAAUGUUGGGUUAAGUCCCGCAACGAGCGCAACCCUUAUCCUUUGUUGCCAGCGGUCCGGCCGGGAACUCAAAGGAGACUGCCAGUGAUAAACUGGAGGAAGGUGGGGAUGACGUCAAGUCAUCAUGGCCCUUACGACCAGGGCUACACACGUGCUACAAUGGCGCAUACAAAGAGAAGCGACCUCGCGAGAGCAAGCGGACCUCAUAAAGUGCGUCGUAGUCCGGAUUGGAGUCUGCAACUCGACUCCAUGAAGUCGGAAUCGCUAGUAAUCGUGGAUCAGAAUGCCACGGUGAAUACGUUCCCGGGCCUUGUACACACCGCCCGUCACACCAUGGGAGUGGGUUGCAAAAGAAGUAGGUAGCUUAACCUUCUGGGAGGGCGCUUACCACUUUGUGAUUCAUGACUGGGGUGAAGUCGUAACAAGGUAACCGUAGGGGAACCUGCGGUUGGAUCACCUCCUUA
rnacentral:rRNA from 1 species